GUUGGUGGCUGCUGAGUGGUUUUACUUACAGACAGCAGUUUCGCGUCAUCAAAGCCCUCUGGCUGAGCCCCUGCCAUCCCGCGCGCGCCCACCUGUGCAUAAUUUAUGUUAAUGAGCAGGUGCAGCGGUUUUUGAGGCGCGCCAAGGGCCGCUCGGGGAUGAGCUGGAUGGAGCAGCACAGGGAGAGUCGGGAGUCCAGCAGGAGGGUUUUCACCAGGUGAUGCUGUCCAAACCCGACUGAGUGCGGAUCCGCGAAACACGAAUGGAUCCCUAUUUAAGACGGAGAAGGCUUUUUCAUUUAUUAUCUUGGUGUUUUAUCCUCAUUUAUCAAGCGCACCUUUCCUGGGGUUUGGAAAGAGUGAACAUUUCUAACUGGGAUGAAUUUAAUAACAGCGGGAGCAGUGGGAUAAAGCAUCAGAAAUGGGACACCGCUUCCCAGGGAGGGCAGGUAGGCAGCUGCAUUGAUCGUUGAUGCUGAUGGAGCUGCUUCGGGUGGCAAACACACAGCCAGAUGGACAAAAAAAUCAGCAUCGCUCACAUCACCAUCAUCAUCAUCAUAUGGGAGUACUUCUUCCCAUAAUUUAUACACAGUGUUCAUGUUCUUCUCUUUUAAUUUUGCUAAAAGACUCAGUUGUUUGCUUAAGUAUAAGUUAGUUGAAUAUAUGUGAAAUGCAACAUAUUUCUAGUUUUAUUGUAGAAUCUUAAUAUAUGACUUUUUAAUUUUUAAUUAUAAAGAUUCACUUGUUUUUAAUCCAAGAAUGUUGUUAUUCCCAAAAUUUGAUGUCUGUAUUGAUGGACGGUUUAAAAAUGCAUUUCAGGCUGCACAAACACACAGAAAUGUCCC
rnacentral:lncRNA from 1 species